UACAGGGGGUGCAAGCGUUGCUCGGAAUCACUGGGCGUAAAGCGUACGCAGGCGGACCGUUAAGUCGGGUGUGAAAGCCCGGGGCUCAACCCCGGAACUGCAUUCGAUACUGGCGGUCUUGAAUACGGGAGAGGUGAGUGGAAUUCCUGGUGUAGAGGUGAAAUUCGUAGAUAUCGGGAGGAACAUCAGUUGCGAAGGCGGCUCUCUGGACCAGCACUGACACUGAGGCACGAAAGCGUGGGGAGCAAACAGG
rnacentral:rRNA from 1 species